GAAUCAGAGAAGAUGCCACCCAGUGACACUCAGCGCUUCAUAUUUCUAAGAGAUGACACAGUUAGGACUGGAUAUACCUUUCAAAAGCCUUAACACCUCGGACCCACAUUUGGAUCUCUUUCCCUUGAUUGCAAGUUGUGUGGUACAGCUGAAAUGAUUGAGAACUGCUUACCCUGGGAGAGAAAGGAACUUCAAGGAAAAGCUCUGCAGCAGAAAACAGUGACCCACGGAAUAUGCAAGGCCUAUCAUGACUGAUCAAAGUGAGAUGCUGCCUGGGCUAGAUUUGC